UUGUUCACUUCAGAAACACAUAUAUUAAAUGUGAAACAAUACAGAUAAACAUGCCCCCAAUGCAAGGAAGACAUGCAAAUUCAUGACAUAUUCUUUAUGUUU